AACCUAUGGACGGGAAUAACCUCGGGAAACUGAGUAUAAUGCCCGAUAGAACACUAUACCUGGAAUGGUUUGUGUUCCAAAUGAUUUAUCGCCGUAGGAUGGGACUGCGGCCUAUCAGUUUGUUGGUGAGGUAAUGGCCCACCAAGACUAUUACAGGUACGGGCUCUGAGAGGAGUAGCCCGGAGAUGGGUACUGAGACACGGACCCAGGCCCUAUGGGGCGCAGCAGGCGAGAAAACUUUGCAAUGUGCUAAAGCACGACAAGGUUAAUCCGAGUGGUUUCUGCUAAAGGAACCUUUUGUCAGUCCUAGAAACACUGAUGAAUAAGGGGUGGGCAAGUUCUGGUGUCAGCCGCCGCGGUAAAACCAGCACCUCAAGUGGUCAGGAUGAUUAUUGGGCCUAAAGCAUCCGUAGCCGGCUCUGUAAGUUUUCGGUUAAAUCUGUACGCUCAACGUACAGGCUGCCGGGAAUACUGCAGAGCUAGGGAGUGGGAGAGGUAGACGGUACUCGGUAGGAAGGGGUAAAAUCCUUUGAUCUAUUGAUGACCACCUGUGGCGAAGGCGGUCUACCAGAACACGUCCGACGGUGAGGGAUGAAAGCUGGGGGAGCAAACCGGAUUAGAUACCCGGGUAGUCCCAGCUGUAAACUAUGCAAACUCAGUGAUGCAUUGGCUUGUGGCCAAUGCAGUGCUGCAGGGAAGCCGUUAAGUUUGCCGCCUGGGAAGUACGUACGCAAGUAUGAAACUUAAAGGAAUUGGCGGGGGAGCACCACAAGGGGUGAAGCCUGCGGUUCAAUUGGAGUCAACGCCGGA
rnacentral:rRNA from 1 species